UCCUCCUAUUUUCAAUUAUUUUGCUUCAGUUCUUUGAUCAGUUUUCAUAUUUUCCAUCAUUCUCCCCAUUUUCGCUCUUGGGAGAAGGAGAAAAAGAGACCUACAAUGGAGGUGUUACAUUUUCGUAGAGGGAGAGCAAAUUGAUGGAAAAUUAGAGGGUCUAUCCAUUGCCUCAAUAAUGUUCGCUCCUCGGAGACAGCUAUAUUUCAAAGAGGUACUGACUGGGUGUCGAAUGAACAGUGUACUGGUCUGUGUCUCAUUUACGGAAAAGAAGAUCUAUGGGUGACACCUAUUUGGGAUUUACAAGUGAAACGUUAGUUCCCUAAAGCUCCAUAUAAUCAUAUUAGUCUCACCGCCCCCAUGAUGAAGUCCCAGAGCGUCCUCCUCCCUUUGACCUUACGGGAGAGACAAUACCACUAUGUUGCCAUUUGAAUUUGAAUGCUUGACCUGCUUGAAAGUGAGAUAAGAAUGAACUUUAUACUCAUAUUAACCAAGUUAUUGCAGGAGGAAAAUCAAACUCAUCUUCAAAGUUUUCGUCAAGUAUUUUGACAUUUUAAGCAGAAGUUAGUUCUUGAUGUAUGUAAAUAGGAUUGAUUGUAAUAAAAUUACAAGAUAUAUUUGAUUUCUUUUCUUUGUUUAUGUUAUAACUUUUAAUGUUGUACAUAUUACUAUAGUUCUGUAGCCUCUUCAGUCCCUUUAUUAUAGAAAGAUUCAGCUAACUGCUUGAAAAUAUAAAAUGUUGGCCCGUGCCUAUCUAGUA